GAAGUUUUGGAAAGCUAACGAAAUUAUCUUCGAUUUGGUAUACUAAUUUGCACUCAUAGCUUGUUUAUUGAUGGAGAUAAGCGCAUUUGAAGUUGAUCAAUGGAUGCUGAAAAUAGGUGUAAAGUGGAAUACGGGUUUGAUGAAUUUGGAGUUGAAGUUUUGGUCAAGUUAGGAGCUCAAUUGCAGCAUGUUCAUCAUCCAAAGCUCCAUUGAUGCAAGGUGCAGUUUAGUAGCUUUUGAUAGAUAGCCGGUUCGGAUUGAUGGCUUGAAGUGGUGUCGGCUCGAAGACCUCGUUGAUUUUGACAUUCCGCUGUGCAAGAUCCAUUGAAGACCCAUGUAUUGUGCUACUUAGUAGAAUUUCAUGUUGUAUUUUAUAUGGAUCAAAUAUUGUACCUUGACUUGUGUAUGUACUCAAUAUCAAUUUUAACGUUUCAUGCAUAAUAUACUAGUCAGUUAUGUAUGGGGUGUUACAGUUGGUAUCAGAGCAGGUCGAUUCUCAACCGAGCCACGAAACAUCACUAGCAAUUCCUUUUCCUCCUCUCAAGUGUGCGUUGCUAGCCUGACUUUACUGAUAUCUCAUUGAGUCGUUGAACUUGAUCAACUCAUCGACUGAGUGCGUGACAGUGGAAUUACGGCAGAGCCGCCACGAGGACUCGUAAAACCUGCAAGGUUGUGAACCUAAGUUGUUGGAGUGGGAUGAGUAAUGAAUUGUUGGACGUUUUAAGUGGAUGAUAUUGGAAUCGUCAAGCUUCAGAAGAGCAGUUGACGCAAUGUAGUGAUACCCGAACUGUCAAGGUGUGGAUCGAGACAACUAGAACCCCCAGGAUUUGGAUGGGACAGAGUGAAACCUUCUCUAAGUCUUGGUAAUAGCAAGGGAAAAUCCGGACAGGAUUGAGAAAGGGCCUUGUAAGUGAGAUUCUCCGAAGGUGUUGAGCUGGGAUUUAGUAGGAUUCAGUACUGAUGAUGCUGCUGGUGUUAAGUGCGACUGAUGAGCUGAUAGGACAGAAUAACCUUUGGAAGUGCGGACACAGAAGUCAGACCUUUCUGAUUGCGCUGGUACGGACAGUAAUUGGAUGGGUGAAGUAUUAGAUCCUGAUUUAACUUGAAGUAACCUAAGCGAGAGUAGUUGCCUAGUGAAGGUUCGUGGAAUAUACGAACGUGGUAACUUACGAUUGGGCGAGGCUUGAAUACUCGGUCGAUGGAAGAGGAUGUGUAUUUCUAUUCUUAUCAUUUUAUAUUUAAGUUCUAGAACUACGCUAGAUGGAAUAUGAAAUGAUGUAGAAGCGUGAAAUGCAGUAGCCUAAGUUCUUGUUAGUUGUUGUUCGUCAGACCCCGAGUGAAGCCAUAGAAUUACGCUUGGCAUUGGGCGUUCAGGCGAGUAAGAACUAAGAUCUAUCUGGAACGUCAAUAGGAUGAUCGCAGUUGCGUUGGUUAUUAGGAACCAUAGUAUUCCUAUCUGGACUGAAUUAUCCUUGGAAUCUCAUGCAUGCGUGGGACGAGUGGGUACGCGCACGACAUGGUAAUUCGAUUUUGAACUUCAAGUCUUCAUGCUUGGCGUUUUGGCCUUCCGAGUAAGUAAACCUUGAUGUGUAGCACCCUCAAGUUUUAGCAUCCUGAGGAGUGUGAUUCGAAGGACUUGAGGAACGAUGAACCUAUUGGAGGCCUGUUCAGACACUUGUCGGUUGCAACUAUAGGAUACGCGUGGGGAUCAUUAUACGCCUGAGGUAGGUUACCGGGAUACAUGGCCUCGGAUUUGGUCCACCAUGUUGGUACUACCAGACGGGUAUGAUGCCACAGUAUCGCUAUCAUGCACAAGAUGCGUGAGUCAUCCUUUUCCGACAUGUGUGGGACAAAGGUGAUCUGAAGCUCAAGGUAGAAUUCUGAUUUGGCACUCGUGAGACACAGAUCCAGACUCUCAUAAGGUAUGUAGGAUAAGGAUUCAUACGUCACACUCGAUAGUAGAGGAAUAACUAGACAGGAGAUGGUGAGAUGGAUCAAGAUCCGAUACUAUGCUUAUAGAGACUCUGAAUGAUCAUGCUCACGCAAGUUAGAGACAGAUUAUACCUUGCAAAUGUUCUCGUUUCAUGAAGUGUUAAGUUGGCAAUUUUGCAAGAGUGUCUAGAGUGCGACUCAUGUGCGGUCAUGAUACCCUGGUCAGCAUAGUGAGUGGCUAUCAUGUAUCAUUGGCAACCAGUGAUGGAAUAUGCAAAUUGUAUCUUGGAAUAAUUUGAUGUGUGACGUAUCUGGUAGAGUGUCUGUAGAUACUCUGAGUGAAGAAAUGUCAAUCUUGGUAAAGCAUAGACAUUUUUGGUUUGAGAACUUGUGAGGAGUUUAUAAGAGAGAUGUUCGAAAUUCAAAGUACAAUUUCUCGCAUUGUGGCUGCACUCCGACCGUUGGAAGCACUGCAAUGAAGGAUGCAGCCGCCGGGGAAGUCAGUUUAAUGCCAGAUUCAGAGGUAGAUCAGACAUUAGAUGAAUGUGUGGAUGGAGUGUGGCUAUGAGGGGAUUGUUAUAUCAGUAAGUCGCACGAGUUAUCAGAGGUGACUUUGUGCUAAGAGAAUGAAGCCGUUUGGUUGGGAAGAAGCGAUGAUAAACCGACGGAGUUAUCGUAAGCUGCGAAGCGUUGGUGAAAGAAUCAUUAUAACGGUUGAGUAACAAGACUUGUUGUAAGGAAAAAAAAAACGUAUCAGUUGUACGCUGUGGAAAUCAGUGACAAGGACGAACCCCUAAGUCAGUGGGUAUUUGGGUUUCAAUGUCCUAAGAUCGAAACGUGUGCCUAAGUUAUGGUAGAUGAACUAAUAUGGAAUUGCAGAGUAAGUAGAAACUUGAUUCUGGAGAGUACGCAACUUCGAGGAGUAGUAGUCGACAAUGGAUGUAUAUGGAGUUCUGGAACGUGUUGUAAUUGGACAACUAUGGAUAAGGAAUUAUUGUGUAUUAAAGGAAGCCAAGUGAAUAAUGGAUAUAACGUGACUCAGAGGAUUUCAAGGUGUGUGAAUUGUUGGAAUCAGAGUAGCGCAACGGAUCAAGAAAGAAUCAGAUAAGUCUGAGGUACGAACGAACGGACUAUUUGUAGGAUUUUAUGUUGGAAUGAAGGUAUCUUCCUAAGGGAAAUUGUCGAAGCGGCGUUUCGUUCAUUCCAGUCUCUCAAGGAUCACCAUAACUCGAGAGGUGUUGUCAAUGGGCCAGCUUGGGAAUACAUUUGGUGGAUGGCAUGCGGUCCGAAGUUCGUAGGUCAUCCGUUUAGCUUGUAUGUCACAAGGGUUGGACUGAGUAUUGUGACCGCUGAAAUGCUGAAGACCAGUGAGGAUUCUCAAUUGGCGCAAGUUCUUCGUGGUUAUGUCUUGUGCACUGUGAGCGUGCGUGAAGAGUUGGACAAUGGUCGUCGGGUAGCGUUUGGAAUUCACCGUUCAUCGGUGGAACCUUGGGUGAAGUUGUGGAAUGCUACAACAUCGUGGAUUGAGGUAAUGAUUGAUACAUCUAGGAUUGAGGUGAGAAUCGAGUAAGGAGGAUCAGUUGUAUAAGCAUAGGUAAACUUGGGACAACCGUCCUAAGACUUUGGGAACCGGAAGUUGAGACCAAGACAUUUGGCUAACGCCUAAUGACAUUGUAUGGACUCGAGUGGAGAAUAAUUUGAAGUGUUAUUGCAGAAGUGACGUUGUGGUAGUAAUUCUCAAACGGGAAGUAAUUCAAGGAGCUGAGUGGAUUAGUAAUGUUUGUCGAAUGAGGGUGAGCAUAUUAGAGAAUGAAAUGAAGGAUAUCCAACAUGAGUGGAUUAUUAGAGUUUCUGAAGUUCUGGGGAUUCAGUGCAGAGCAGUGAAGGUCAAGGACCCUGGAAGGAUUUUUCCCCAUAUAUGUCAAGACGAAGUAUCUUGAUAGACGUGUUACUUGAGAGUCAAAGUUCUAACCAUGCAUAGUGGGACGCAGGUGUUUUGGCAGAUUAUGCUUCUUCGUAUAGAAUGACCCUCAGACAGAGUAGUGAGAUUAUGUGAAGAGAAAUGUAAGGAACAUUUCAUCCCCUGGUUGGUAUAGAUUUGGACACGUUGUUUCCGUGGUGACCGGAAAGAAUUCGAGGACGAAUUCAAUUUAAGGGGGGGAGAAUGUAAUACCCCGAUUCUCCGACACAAGUUAAUUAUCAUUUAAUUGGUUAAGUGAUGAUUAUAAGGCAUAUUGAUAUUGGAUUAUAUUAGUCUAAGAAGAAUUAUUAGUAAGAGUUAGUGGAGUGGUUAGAAUAAGAUAGAUUAUUGGAAUUUAACCAAGUGGCAAGGUGGUAAUUUUCACUCAAUUGGAGGGCUUAAUGGACUUAUGUAUUGCUUGCAUGUGGACAUAAUGGACAUUGGACUUUAAGUGCAUGAGCUUAAGUGUUGUUUGGCUUACACAUCAGAUUUUUAUGGUUGAAGUGGAGCAAGAGAAGCUUAUGUUCUUCCUCAUCACCUUCAUUUUCGCAACAUUUUGACAGCCCUCACUAAACUGAUCAUAACUCUCUGCUCACAGCUCCGAUUGAGCUUGUUUAUUGAUGGAGAUAAGCGCAUUUGAAGUUGAUCAAUGGAUGCUGAAAAUAGGUGUAAAGUGGAAUACGGGUUUGAUGAAUUUGGAGUUGAAGUUUUGGUCAAGUUAGGAGCUCAAUUGCAGCAUGUUCAUCAUCCAAAGCUCCAUUGAUGCAAGGUGCAGUUUAGUAGCUUUUGAUAGAUAGCCGGUUCGGAUUGAUGGCUUGAAGUGGUGUCGGCUCGAAGACCUCGUUGAUUUUGACAUUCCGCUGUGCAAGAUCCAUUGAAGACCCAUGUAUUGUGCUACUUAGUAGAAUUUCAUGUUGUAUUUUAUAUGGAUCAAAUAUUGUACCUUGACUUGUGUAUGUACUCAAUAUCAAUUUUAACGUUUCAUGCAUAAUAUACUAGUCAGUUAUGUAUGGGGUGUUACAGUUGGUAUCAGAGCAGGUCGAUUCUCAACCGAGCCACGAAACAUCACUAGCAAUUCCUUUUCCUCCUCUCAAGUGUGCGUUGCUAGCCUGACUUUAUGUUGAAAGUAUUUGUGGGUAAAUAUUUUCUGUAAUAUAUCGUAUCCACAGGGAUUGGUUAAUAUCACUGCCGUUCUAUAGUUGUUUAUUUUGAGUUAAGAAAUUUGGUUUGGUUUGUUUUAUACUAAUAAUAAUAUCAAAAACAAAUAAUAAAAUAAAAGCAAGUAAAGGACUUUGUGUUAACAAAUAAAGAAAGAUGUUGAGUCUUUAGGGUUCAUCAACCUAAUCCUAUACAAUUAUCAAUUAAUUCACAAUAGAACAAUCCUUUGAAUCAUUAUCUUCACUUAUCCUCAAAUAAGAUUCCAUGUCUGCAAAUCAAAUUAGAUAACUUUUACCGGUAUGAGAUUCGAUCUCUCCAAACCACAAUAACGAUAAUAGUAAUUAAGAACGAUAAUUAUGAAAACCCAAUUACAAUUCCAUCUCUGCAAAUUGCAAUUGAAUCAAUAUAGUAACCUAGGGCAAAAGUUAAAUCCUUUCUUUCGAUCAAAGAUUCAACGAUAAUUUAAGACUAAAAAACAAGGUUUCUUAUUGAUAAUGAAUUCAAAUAAUUGUUCACAGGAAUUAAUCAAUGGUAAUGUAUAAUCAUAGGUUAACUACUACCUUAGACUCAACAAGAGGGAUUUAGCUCUCCAUAGAUAUGAAGAACAUACAAGAAUCAAUGGAGGAAUUCAUCUUCAUCAAUAGAAUGCCUUCAAUUGGUAAAGAAUCCACCUUCAAUUGUUGUUCUCAGCUCAGAAUCAGAUAGAUCUCCUAAUUUCGCUCCCACAAAAGUAUCUAACCACUUGGAAAACUAGGGCUUUAAAACAGAACUUUUGGGCUUUUAACGCCGAGGCCGCGGCGCGGCAACGGGCUGGCGCGGCGCGCCCCUCAAACAGAAGUAUUUUCGCGGCGCGCCUAGGAACUCGCGCGGCGCGCCCUUUGUACUUUCCAUCUUUUUCUUCAGCCUUUGAGACUUCCAGCUUUCUUUCCUCCUCAUGUUCUUCUUAAGUUCUUAUUCAGCUCAAAACCUGCAACAAUAACACCCACAAGUGAUUCGAUUUGCUUUACGCACGAACUAAACUUAUUCAGUUCAAUUCUUAAUAAAAACCUAUGGAUUCAUCACAAGUUGCAUCAGUUUAGAGAAGAAAUCACUUAUAUUAACACAUGAAUUUACCAUUAAUUUACUCCUAACAAACUCUCCCCAACUUAGAGUUUUGUUUGUCCCUAAACAAAAUUACUUACCUCCAGCAAAGUUUACCGACAAUCAAACAACAAGUUUUUCAAAAAGUUUUUCUCAAGUGGUUCAAUCCAUUAACCAAGUCAAAUACUCCUCUUCUACCUGCAAACUCAGAACAUCCACAUGAAACAAACGUUGAAAGCAAAUUACCUCCAGAAGUUCAAAACACUACACAAUUGUAAUUGAAUCAGCACUAAUCACUCUCAUCAAAAAGUAUGAUGAAUAAAAGAGGGGUUAAACACUCCUCCAAACAAUUAAAUCAACAAAGAUCCAUAUCAUACGUUCACCAAAUUGCUAGCAUCAAGUACUGUGGAAUCUGAGAAUCAGAAGGUCUUUCUAGGGUUGUAAUGCGGUUUAGAUUCAAAGAAAAGAAGAUGAUCAAGGGUUGUUCCUAAUAUAGGGAAGCAUCCAAUUCAUAACUUAUUUCUUUUUCUCUAAAACUCUAAUUCCUUUACCUGUCCAUCUUUUUUCAUUCAUUCGUAGCUUGAUUCUUCUUUUUCACUUUUUUUUUUUCAACAAUCUUUAUAUUCAAACGUUGUUACUUCUCUUUUUUUUUUCAAGCUACGACUUCUUAUAUCUUCCACCGAUUACCAUAAGUACUUACUCUUCUUUUAAAUGUGACUCUCCCCAACUUGGAGAUCAACCUGUAUUCAGAUUAUAUGAAUGCUCCCCUACUUUCUAACAAGGUCAAAGAGAAAACACAUCACCAAAUUUUAUGGUUGAUGAUCCAGAACAAAACUUUUCAUUGAGAUCAAAACUCACCAGGUAUUUUCCUUGGUGCAUAUUAUGAUUCUUAUCUUGACCUCAGGCUCAAAGAAUGGUUAGCAAAAGAUCACACUCUCACAGAAGAAAUUAAGUUGCGUUAGAAUAGGCUAAAAGAACUCUCAGAUUCAAAUAAGUGCCUAAAUCACUUUCACAGAUUUCCACAAACGCUGCAACAACCGGUUUAGCAUGAUACAAACAAGUCAAGACAAUUGAUGGUCUCCUGCAUAUAGUAAACAAUGGAAGGCUUUCCUCACAAUGGUUAAGGCUAAACCAAUUCAAUACAAUAGUGUACCAUAAAAAACUUCUGACAGUAUUUACUAACACCUUAAGUUUCAUUGCACACAUUAAGAGUUUGAGUUCAAAAAUUCAUACCUGCUUUGUUACUUAUUGAAAAAGAGAGUGAAACUCAAAAAUUUUGAACAUUCACUUACUACCACUUUCAUACAUGUUGCUUCAUUGUUGAUGCUUUGCUUGAGAUUCCCGCUUUGUUAUGGGACUACUUACUCUAACUGGGAGUACAUAACAGACAUAAAAACAUAAGAUUGAACAUAAAAAAAUGCAAAGAGUAAAUCCACCCCCAAACUUAAACUAAACAUUGACCUCAAUGUUUCGUAACAAGCCCGAGAGGGUUAACUCACAGAGGGUAUUACAAUAUUACUUGCCUCUUCCUAGCUUUCACCAGAAAGGUUCCCUUAUUAUUUCCUGGAAUAACAAUAGACAAAAAUAAAACAUUAGAAGUGUGGGUUACCUCCCACAAAGUGCUUCGUUUAACGUCGCAUGGCUCGACGGUCCAUUACCCCUUGUUUUAUGGAGGGUAUUUCCUUUUCCAACACUUGCUACUUUGUACUUCCAUACCCACAAACUCAUGAAGAUAAAAAGCAUGGAUAGCUUUUCUCUUCACUUUAUCUUCCCCAUUCUGAUCACUCUCCUUAGCCCUCUUAGGACUUUUGACAUCAUCAUAAUUUGGUUUCAUUGGAGAAGAUAUGUUAGAGACUUUUUCUUGGAGGUUUUUGAGAUUUUUGUUUUCUUGUGCACCUUCCGGUAUACCAGUUGAAUUUUUCUCAUUUACCCCUGACCUGUGUUUCUUGACUCCCAGCAUCUUCAAGGUUACUUCUUCAUCAAAUGAUUUUAGCGUUAGCGUCCCCUUUUCAAUGUCAAGAUUACAGCGUCCUGUCGACAAAAAGGGUCUCCCAAGAAGGAUCGGAGUUUCUUCAUCUUCCGGAAUGUCCAUGAUGUGGAAGUCAACAGGGAAAACAAACUUAUCCACUUCUACUAGUACAUCUUCCGCUACUCCAUAAGAUUUCUUAAUAGUGUGAUCGGCGAACCGUAAUUGCGACUUACUUUCACUGAGCUUGUCUAAUUCAAGCCUUUUGAAAAUGGAUAACGGCAUUAAACUCACACUAGAACCAGAAUCGAGAAGUACCUUUUUAAAUGAUGUAUUCUUGAUAGUGCAUGGUAUCGCCACCGCCCCAGGGUCUUUUCUCUUAAUUGGGAUCUUUCUUGCUGCAGCGACUAUACUACACUUCUCGAUUGCAAUUUUUGGUUCUCCUUCUAGUGAUCUUUUUUUCGCCGACACCUCUUUCAUAAAUUUCUUAUACACAGGCACGUGCUCCAGUGCUUCAAAGAAAGGUAGAUUCACUUCUAACUUUUUGAACAAGGCCGUAAACUUUCGAAAGUCUUUCUCUUUUGAAUCCUUCUUUGUCACUCGCAAAGAGGGAGGUGGUUUAAUCACCUGUUCAACAGCUUUCUUAUUUUUUUCUUCAACUGGUUUCAUUGGUGGUAUAACAACUUCUGGCUCUUUUGGGUUCUCUCUUAUUUCCAGAUCUACCUCCAUCACCAUAGGGUCACCUAUUUCCUCUUUCUCUUUUUCCGAUUCUAAACCCUUUUGACUCCUUGUUGUAACAGCAUUAAUUUUCUCUUGUCCUUGCGGGCUUUUCACAGUAGAGUUUUGACAGGCUCCUUGUGCCUGUAGAGUGAGCUGAUGUGUUAUUUGACCCACUUGAGUCUGCAGAUUUUUAAUUGCAGCUUCCUGGUUCUUCUGAUUUAUCACUGAUGUUUGAAUGAACUGAUUCACGGUCUCCUCCAACUUGGAUUGUCCUCCUUGCUGUUGUUGCGGUGGUUGAGUGUAUGGUUGGAAGGCUUGUUGUUGAUACCCUUGAUUCGGUGGCCUUUGUUGGUACCCUUGAUUGUUAUAUCUUGGUGGAUAACCUUGUUGGUAUGACUGAUUCUGAUAUUGAUUCUGCCUUUGUCCUUGGUUAUUAUUCAUGUAAUUCACUUCUUCUUCUUGCACUGGUGGACAGAAUCCUGUUUGAUGAUCUCCCUUGCACAAUUCGCACCUAGCAACUUGAUAUGAAUUAGAUACCCCGUUCAGCUCCUUGAUUUGUUGUGGUAGUUUAGACAUUUGUUGUGUCAAAAGUUCCACUUGUGAAGUUAGCAAUUUGUUCUGAGCAAGUAGAGCAUCACUAUUGUUCAACUCUAACAUUCCGGGUUUCUUAUCUCUUACCGUUCGAUCAUGAUUGCCUUGACGAUCAUUUAGAGCCAUUCGCUCUAUUAUCUGAGUAGCUUCUUCAGGUGUUUUGGACAUGAGAGAACCACCAGCUGUGGCGUCCAAAAGUGUCUUGUUUGUAGCUGUGAGACCGUUACGGAACAUAUGGAUUUGGUCAACGUCUGAAAAACCGUGUCCUUUGCACUUUCUCAACAUAGCUUUAUACCUUUCCCAUGCUUCAUUCAAAGAUUCAUUACUACCUUGAGAAAAUACUGCUAUUGCUGUUUUUGCUUCGAAGAAUCGGUUUUGAGAGUAAAACCUUUCCAGAAAUUUUUCUUCCAAUGUGUUCCAAUUUGUCAUCACUACCUCGGGUUGAUCCAGAUACCAAUCCUUUGCCUUAGAUAGCAAAGAGUGUGGGAACAACCUCUUAAAUAAUGCUUCCUCAUCAGCUUGAGCAACACCCGUAGUACCCGCUAACUCAUAGAAUCGAGUAAGAUGCGUGUACGGGUCUUCAUGGUCCAAUCCGGCGAAAGGACUUGCACAAAUCAAUUGUAUGAUACCGGUCUUCAGUUCUGUCGGUCGCCCGUUGGCGGCAGUUCUCGCGAACUGAGGAUUGAGUCUUGGACUAUUAGCACAUGGACCAUUAGCUGCCAUGUUGCCAACAGUAGGUUGUAUAAUAACUUCCGGUUCUUCCUCCGUGAAUAGUUCGUGAAAGAAGAAUCCUUCUUGCGACUCGUCAAUGGUUUCAAGUUGUUGUGACGAUGUCGCGGUUGCGUUGUCUCUUGCUUUUGCUAUGUUCGCUCUUUUUCGUGCUUUGCUAUUUAACCUCCUAGCGGUCCUUUCGAUCUCGGGAUCAAAAAGAAGUUGAUCGCUAGAAACUUUGCUGCGCAUACACAAUCUUCUGCAAAACUAGCAAACACGUGAAACAACCAAAAAGAGAAAAUAAAAAUUAAAAACUUCCCCGGCAACGGCGCCAAUUUGUUGAAAGUAUUUGUGGGUAAAUAUUUUCUGUAAUAUAUCGUAUCCACAGGGAUUGGUUAAUAUCACUGCCGUUCUAUAGUUGUUUAUUUUGAGUUAAGAAAUUUGGUUUGGUUUGUUUUAUACUAAUAAUAAUAUCAAAAACAAAUAAUAAAAUAAAAGCAAGUAAAGGACUUUGUGUUAACAAAUAAAGAAAGAUGUUGAGUCUUUAGGGUUCAUCAACCUAAUCCUAUACAAUUAUCAAUUAAUUCACAAUAGAACAAUCCUUUGAAUCAUUAUCUUCACUUAUCCUCAAAUAAGAUUCCAUGUCUGCAAAUCAAAUUAGAUAACUUUUACCGGUAUGAGAUUCGAUCUCUCCAAACCACAAUAACGAUAAUAGUAAUUAAGAACGAUAAUUAUGAAAACCCAAUUACAAUUCCAUCUCUGCAAAUUGCAAUUGAAUCAAUAUAGUAACCUAGGGCAAAAGUUAAAUCCUUUCUUUCGAUCAAAGAUUCAACGAUAAUUUAAGACUAAAAAACAAGGUUUCUUAUUGAUAAUGAAUUCAAAUAAUUGUUCACAGGAAUUAAUCAAUGGUAAUGUAUAAUCAUAGGUUAACUACUACCUUAGACUCAACAAGAGGGAUUUAGCUCUCCAUAGAUAUGAAGAACAUACAAGAAUCAAUGGAGGAAUUCAUCUUCAUCAAUAGAAUGCCUUCAAUUGGUAAAGAAUCCACCUUCAAUUGUUGUUCUCAGCUCAGAAUCAGAUAGAUCUCCUAAUUUCGCUCCCACAAAAGUAUCUAACCACUUGGAAAACUAGGGCUUUAAAACAGAACUUUUGGGCUUUUAACGCCGAGGCCGCGGCGCGGCAACGGGCUGGCGCGGCGCGCCCCUCAAACAGAAGUAUUUUCACGGCGCGCCUAGGAACUCGCGCGGCGCGCCCUUUGUACUUUCCAUCUUUUUCUUCAGCCUUUGAGACUUCCAGCUUUCUUUCCUCCUCAUGUUCUUCUUAAGUUCUUAUUCAGCUCAAAACCUGCAACAAUAACACCCACAAGUGAUUCGAUUUGCUUUACGCACGAACUAAACUUAUUCAGUUCAAUUCUUAAUAAAAACCUAUGGAUUCAUCACAAGUUGCAUCAGUUUAGAGAAAAAAUCACUUAUAUUAACACAUGAAUUUACCAUUAAUUUACUCCUAACACUUUACUGAUAUCUCAUUGAGUCGUUGAACUUGAUCAACUCAUCGACUGAGUGCGUGACAGUGGAAUUACGGCAGAGCCGCCACGAGGACUCGUAAAACCUGCAAGGUUGUGAACCUAAGUUGUUGGAGUGGGAUGAGUAAUGAAUUGUUGGACGUUUUAAGUGGAUGAUAUUGGAAUCGUCAAGCUUCAGAAGAGCAGUUGACGCAAUGUAGUGAUACCCGAACUGUCAAGGUGUGGAUCGAGACAACUAGAACCCCCAGGAUUUGGAUGGGACAGAGUGAAACCUUCUCUAAGUCUUGGUAAUAGCAAGGGAAAAUCCGGACAGGAUUGAGAAAGGGCCUUGUAAGUGAGAUUCUCCGAAGGUGUUGAGCUGGGAUUUAGUAGGAUUCAGUACUGAUGAUGCUGCUGGUGUUAAGUGCGACUGAUGAGCUGAUAGGACAGAAUAACCUUUGGAAGUGCGGACACAGAAGUCAGACCUUUCUGAUUGCGCUGGUACGGACAGUAAUUGGAUGGGUGAAGUAUUAGAUCCUGAUUUAACUUGAAGUAACCUAAGCGAGAGUAGUUGCCUAGUGAAGGUUCGUGGAAUAUACGAACGUGGUAACUUACGAUUGGGCGAGGCUUGAAUACUCGGUCGAUGGAAGAGGAUGUGUAUUUCUAUUCUUAUCAUUUUAUAUUUAAGUUCUAGAACUACGCUAGAUGGAAUAUGAAAUGAUGUAGAAGCGUGAAAUGCAGUAGCCUAAGUUCUUGUUAGUUGUUGUUCGUCAGACCCCGAGUGAAGCCAUAGAAUUACGCUUGGCAUUGGGCGUUCAGGCGAGUAAGAACUAAGAUCUAUCUGGAACGUCAAUAGGAUGAUCGCAGUUGCGUUGGUUAUUAGGAACCAUAGUAUUCCUAUCUGGACUGAAUUAUCCUUGGAAUCUCAUGCAUGCGUGGGACGAGUGGGUACGCGCACGACAUGGUAAUUCGAUUUUGAACUUCAAGUCUUCAUGCUUGGCGUUUUGGCCUUCCGAGUAAGUAAACCUUGAUGUGUAGCACCCUCAAGUUUUAGCAUCCUGAGGAGUGUGAUUCGAAGGACUUGAGGAACGAUGAACCUAUUGGAGGCCUGUUCAGACACUUGUCGGUUGCAACUAUAGGAUACGCGUGGGGAUCAUUAUACGCCUGAGGUAGGUUACCGGGAUACAUGGCCUCGGAUUUGGUCCACCAUGUUGGUACUACCAGACGGGUAUGAUGCCACAGUAUCGCUAUCAUGCACAAGAUGCGUGAGUCAUCCUUUUCCGACAUGUGUGGGACAAAGGUGAUCUGAAGCUCAAGGUAGAAUUCUGAUUUGGCACUCGUGAGACACAGAUCCAGACUCUCAUAAGGUAUGUAGGAUAAGGAUUCAUACGUCACACUCGAUAGUAGAGGAAUAACUAGACAGGAGAUGGUGAGAUGGAUCAAGAUCCGAUACUAUGCUUAUAGAGACUCUGAAUGAUCAUGCUCACGCAAGUUAGAGACAGAUUAUACCUUGCAAAUGUUCUCGUUUCAUGAAGUGUUAAGUUGGCAAUUUUGCAAGAGUGUCUAGAGUGCGACUCAUGUGCGGUCAUGAUACCCUGGUCAGCAUAGUGAGUGGCUAUCAUGUAUCAUUGGCAACCAGUGAUGGAAUAUGCAAAUUGUAUCUUGGAAUAAUUUGAUGUGUGACGUAUCUGGUAGAGUGUCUGUAGAUACUCUGAGUGAAGAAAUGUCAAUCUUGGUAAAGCAUAGACAUUUUUGGUUUGAGAACUUGUGAGGAGUUUAUAAGAGAGAUGUUCGAAAUUCAAAGUACAAUUUCUCGCAUUGUGGCUGCACUCCGACCGUUGGAAGCACUGCAAUGAAGGAUGCAGCCGCCGGGGAAGUCAGUUUAAUGCCAGAUUCAGAGGUAGAUCAGACAUUAGAUGAAUGUGUGGAUGGAGUGUGGCUAUGAGGGGAUUGUUAUAUCAGUAAGUCGCACGAGUUAUCAGAGGUGACUUUGUGCUAAGAGAAUGAAGCCAUUUGGUUGGGAAGAAGCGAUGAUAAACCGACGGAGUUAUCGUAAGCUGCGAAGCGUUGGUGAAAGAAUCAUUAUAACGGUUGAGUAACAAGACUUGUUGUAAGGAAAAAAAAAACGUAUCAGUUGUACGCUGUGGAAAUCAGUGACAAGGACGAACCCCUAAGUCAGUGGGUAUUUGGGUUUCAAUGUCCUAAGAUCGAAACGUGUGCCUAAGUUAUGGUAGAUGAACUAAUAUGGAAUUGCAGAGUAAGUAGAAACUUGAUUCUGGAGAGUACGCAACUUCGAGGAGUAGUAGUCGACAAUGGAUGUAUAUGGAGUUCUGGAACGUGUUGUAAUUGGACAACUAUGGAUAAGGAAUUAUUGUGUAUUAAAGGAAGCCAAGUGAAUAAUGGAUAUAACGUGACUCAGAGGAUUUCAAGGUGUGUGAAUUGUUGGAAUCAGAGUAGCGCAACGGAUCAAGAAAGAAUCAGAUAAGUCUGAGGUAGGAACGAACGGACUAUUUGUAGGAUUUUAUGUUGGAAUGAAGGUAUCUUCCUAAGGGAAAUUGUCGAAGCGGCGUUUCGUUCAUUCCAGUCUCUCAAGGAUCACCAUAACUCGAGAGGUGUUGUCAAUGGGCCAGCUUGGGAAUACAUUUGGUGGAUGGCAUGCGGUCCGAAGUUCGUAGGUCAUCCGUUUAGCUUGUAUGUCACAAGGGUUGGACUGAGUAUUGUGACCGCUGAAAUGCUGAAGACCAGUGAGGAUUCUCAAUUGGCGCAAGUUCUUCGUGGUUAUGUCUUGUGCACUGUGAGCGUGCGUGAAGAGUUGGACAAUGGUCGUCGGGUAGCGUUUGGAAUUCACCGUUCAUCGGUGGAACCUUGGGUGAAGUUGUGGAAUGCUACAACAUCGUGGAUUGAGGUAAUGAUUGAUACAUCUAGGAUUGAGGUGAGAAUCGAGUAAGGAGGAUCAGUUGUAUAAGCAUAGGUAAACUUGGGACAACCGUCCUAAGACUUUGGGAACCGGAAGUUGAGACCAAGACAUUUGGCUAACGCCUAAUGACAUUGUAUGGACUCGAGUGGAGAAUAAUUUGAAGUGUUAUUGCAGAAGUGACGUUGUGGUAGUAAUUCUCAAACGGGAAGUAAUUCAAGGAGCUGAGUGGAUUAGUAAUGUUUGUCGAAUGAGGGUGAGCAUAUUAGAGAAUGAAAUGAAGGAUAUCCAACAUGAGUGGAUUAUUAGAGUUUCUGAAGUUCUGGGGAUUCAGUGCAGAGCAGUGAAGGUCAAGGACCCUGGAAGGAUUUUUCCCCAUAUAUGUCAAGACGAAGUAUCUUGAUAGACGUGUUACUUGAGAGUCAAAGUUCUAACCAUGCAUAGUGGGACGCAGGUGUUUUGGCAGAUUAUGCUUCUUCGUAUAGAAUGACCCUCAGACAGAGUAGUGAGAUUAUGUGAAGAGAAAUGUAAGGAACAUUUCAUCCCCUGGUUGGUAUAGAUUUGGACACGUUGUUUCCGUGGUGACCGGAAAGAAUUCGAGGACGAAUUCAAUUUAAGGGGGGGAGAAUGUAAUACCCCGAUUCUCCGACACAAGUUAAUUAUCAUUUAAUUGGUUAAGUGAUGAUUAUAAGGCAUAUUGAUAUUGGAUUAUAUUAGUCUAAGAAGAAUUAUUAGUAAGAGUUAGUGGAGUGGUUAGAAUAAGAUAGAUUAUUGGAAUUUAACCAAGUGGCAAGGUGGUAAUUUUCACUCAAUUGGAGGGCUUAAUGGACUUAUGUAUUGCUUGCAUGUGGACAUAAUGGACAUUGGACUUUAAGUGCAUGAGCUUAAGUGUUGUUUGGCUUACACAUCAGAUUUUUAUGGUUGAAGUGGAGCAAGAGAAGCUUAUGUUCUUCCUCAUCACCUUCAUUUUCGCAACAUUUUGACAGCCCUCACUAAACUGAUCAUAACUCUCUGCUCACAGCUCCGAUUGAGCUUGUUUAUUGAUGGAGAUAAGCGCAUUUGAAGUUGAUCAAUGGAUGCUGAAAAUAGGUGUAAAGUGGAAUACGGGUUUGAUGAAUUUGGAGUUGAAGUUUUGGUCAAGUUAGGAGCUCAAUUGCAGCAUGUUCAUCAUCCAAAGCUCCAUUGAUGCAAGGUGAGUCUCUAGUUAGAGACUUGGGGUUUUGUGGGGAAAUUAGAAUUUGGGGAAAAUUGGGGAUUUGUGUGAUAAAAAUCAUUGCAUGUUUGUUUAAUGGAUAAAGUAUGUGUUCUUUGAUGUGAUUAUAUGUUGUAGAAUGAUGAUACAUGAUGGAGUUCGAAUUUGGAUCAUUAGGGAACCUUAGGAAUGUUUUAGGAUGUUUUGGAACUGGUUUUAUGCAGGAAAAUACGUUUUUUUGACUCUGCUUCAGUAGCAAAUCGAUUUGCAUGGGUUGUAAAUCGAUUUUCAUUCCUGAAAAUGUCAUUUUUGGGCUCUGCUACAGGUGUAAAUCGAUUGCAGUAAGAUGCAAAUCGAUUGCUUACUGACAGGAAAAUAGCUUUUAUUGUUUUGAUCAUAACUUGAGUUUUGUAACUCGAAAUGAAGCCCGGUCGGAAGCAUUGGAAAGGUCUUUUAAUGAUCUUUAUGAAUAUGCUUAGAUAUAAAGCUUUUAAUUGAUUUAAAAUUUAUGGCAAAUGGAUGUUUAGUUACAUGAUGUCGGAUUAACAUUUAUAGAAUCAAGAAUGGUAUGUUUAAUUCCCCAGAGUGCAGUUCCGUUCCAUGUCGGGAACCGGAAGCCUCCUUGUUAUGAGACUAAUGUGUGUCCAUGUACGUUCUAAAUAAUUAUAUGGUUUGAUUUGUUAGACGCUGGCCUAUAGAUCUAGAGGGGGGGGGGUGAAUAGAUCUCACUAAGUUUUUACAGAUUUUUCUACAGACUCGAGCGAAAGCGGUUCUGAAUCGACUUGCGUCUAUUCUGGACCGCUAUUGCAAAGGUCGUAUGUGUUUCAAAACCAAAGAGUAAGUGGAAAUGAUGGUGAAGUAAUAUGAUAGCUAACCAAUACGUUUAACAACUGAAAUCCAAUUAACUUCUAGAUUGACGACUUUGAUUUGCAAUGCAGUAAGAUUGGAUUAAGCAAAAACACAAACACUUGGUGAUACGUUCAAAUUGAUAGUGAUUCAAGUUGUGGUGAAUUGUGAUGUUUGUGCAGAACUUUAAUUCACAAUUUUAACACUCGAAUCGUUGAUCAAUUUUGCACUUAUAACCAAUUAUGAACAGAAAGUAAAAGAGAAAGUAAAAGCGACAAG